rnacentral:rRNA from 1 species
AUUGAACGCUGGCGGCAGGCCUAACACAUGCAAGUCGAGCGGAGCGGCGGACGGGUGAGUAAUGCCUAGGAAUCUGCCUGGUAGUGGGGGAUAACGUAGGGAAACUUACGCUAAUACCGCAUACGAUUGAAUGAGCCGAUGUCGGAUUAGCUAGUUGGCGGGGUAAAGGCCCACCAAGGCGACGAUCCGUAGCUGGUCUGAGAGGAUGAUCAGCCACACUGGAACUGAGACACGGUCCAGACUCCUACGGGAGGCAGCAGUGGGGAAUAUUGGACAAUGGGCGCAAGCCUGAUCCAGCCAUACCGCGUGGGUGAAGAAGGCCUUCGGGUUGUAAAGUACUUUCAGCGGGGAGGCGUUACCCGCAGAAUAAGCACCGGCUAACUUCGUGCCAGCCGCCGCGGUAAUUC